AGAUUGAACGCUGGCGGCAGGCCUAACACAUGCAAGUCGAGCGGCAGCACGGGUACUUGUACCUGGUGGCGAGCGGCGGACGGGUGAGUAAUGCCUAGGAAUCUGCCUGGUAGUGGGGGAUAACGCUCGGAAACGGACGCUAAUACCGCAUACGUCCUACGGGAGAAAGCAGGGGACCUUCGGGCCUUGCGCUAUCAGAUGAGCCUAGGUCGGAUUAGCUAGUUGGUGAGGUAAUGGCUCACCAAGGCGACGAUCCGUAACUGGUCUGAGAGGAUGAUCAGUCAACACUGGAACUGAGACACGGUCCAGACUCUACGGGA
rnacentral:rRNA from 1 species